rnacentral:snRNA from 1 species
ACAAUCUACUGCUUCAGUUAAA